rnacentral:rRNA from 1 species
UACGUAGGGUGCUAGAGUUGUCCGGAUUUACUGGGUGUAAAGGGUGCUCAGGUGGGUUUGUAAGUUAGAGGUGAAAGCCCGGGGCUCAACCCCGGAAUUGCCUUUAAGACUGCAUCGCUUGAAUCCGGGAGAGGUGAGUGGAAUUCCGAGUGUAGAGGUGAAAUUCGUAGAUAUUCGGAAGAACACCAGUGGCGAAGGCGGCUCACUGGACCGGUAUUGACGCUGAGGUGCGAAAGCGUGGGGAGCAAACAGG